rnacentral:rRNA from 1 species
AUUGAACGCUGGCGGAAUGCUUUACACAUGCAAGUCGAACGGCAGCACGGACUUCGGUCUGGUGGCGAGUGGCGAACGGGUGAGUAAUACAUCGGAACGUGCCCAGUCGUGGGGGAUAACGUAGCGAAAGCUACGCUAAUACCGCAUCCGAUCUAAGGAUGAAAGCGGGGGAUCGCAAGACCUCGCGCGAUUGGAGCGGCCGAUGGCAGAUUAGGUAGUUGGUAGGGUAAAGGCCUACCAAGCCGACGAUCUGUAGCUGGUCUGAGAGGACGACCAGCAACACUGGGACUGAGACACGGCCCAGACUCCUACGGGAGGCAGCAGUGGGGAAUUUUGGACAAUGGACGAAAGUCUGAUCCAGCCAUUCCGCGUGCAGGAUGAAGGCCCUCGGGUUGUAAACUGCUUUUGUACAGAACGAAAAGGCUCUGGUUAAUACCUGGAGCUCAUGACGGUACUGUAAGAAUAAGCACCGGCUAACUACGUGCCAGCAGCCGCCGUAA